AGCGAACGCUGGCGGCAGGCCUAACACAUGCAAGUCGAACGAAGUCUUCGGCCUUAGUGUCGGACGGGUGAGUAACACGUGGGAAAGUGCCUUUAGUUUCGCAAUAACUCAGGGAAACUUGUGCUAAUACCGACUGUGCCCUUCGGGGGGAAGAUUUAUCGCCUUUAGAGCGGCCCGCGUCUGAUUAGCUAGUUGGUGAGGUAAAGGCCCACCAAGGCUACGAUCAGUAGCUGGUCUGAGAGGAUGACCAGCCACAUUGGGACUGAGACACGGCCCAAACUCCUACGGGGGGCAGCAGUGGGGAAUCUUGCGCAAUGGGCGAAAGCCUGACGCAGCCAUGCCGCGUGGAUGAUGAAGGUCUUAGGAUUGUAAAAUCCUUUCACCGGUGAAGAUAAUGACUGUAGCCGGAGAAGAAGCCCCGGCUAACUUCGUGCCAGCAGCCGCGGUAAGAC
rnacentral:rRNA from 1 species